rnacentral:rRNA from 1 species
GAUGAACGCUAGCGGGAGGCCUAACACAUGCAAGCCGAGCGGUAUUGUUUCUUCGGAACUGAGAGAGCGGCGUACGGGUGCGUAACACGUGUGCAACCUGCCUUUAUCUGGGGGAUAGCCUUUCGAAAGGAAGAUUAAUACUCCAUAAUAUAUUGAACGGCAUCGUUUAAUAUUGAAAGCUCCGGCGGAUAGAGAUGGGCACGCGCAAGAUUAGCUAGUUGGUGAGGUAACGCUCACCAAGGCGAUGAUCUUUAGGGGGCCUGAGAGGGUGAUCCCCCACACUGGUACUGAGACACGGACCAGACUCCUACGGGAGGCAGCAGUGAGGAAUAUUGGUCAAUGGGUGCAAGCCUGAACCAGCCAUCCCGCGUGAAGGACGACUGCCCUAUGGGUUGUAAACUUCUUUUGUAUAGGGAUAAACCUACCCUCGAGAGGGUAGCUGAAGGUACUAUACGAAUAAGCACCGGCUAACUCCGUG